GGAUGAACGCUGGCGGCGUGCCUAAUACAUGCAAGUCGAGCGAACAGACGAGGAGCUUGCUCCUCUGACGUUAGCGGCGGACGGGUGAGUAACACGUGGAUAACCUACCUAUAAGACUGGGAUAACUUCGGGAAACCGGAGCUAAUACCGGAUAAUAUAUUGAACCGCAUGGUUCAAUAGUGAAAGACGGUUUUGCUGUCACUUAUAGAUGGAUCCGCGCUGCAUUAGCUAGUUGGUAAGGUAACGGCUUACCAAGGCAACGAUGCGUAGCCGACCUGAGAGGGUGAUCGGCCACACUGGAACUGAGACACGGUCCAGACUCCUACGGGAGGCAGCAGUAGGGAAUCUUCCGCAAAGGGCGAAAGCCUGACGGAGCAACGCCGCGUGAGUGAUGAAGGUCUUCGGAUCGUAAAACUCUGUUAUUAGGGAAGAACAAAUGUGUAAGUAACUAUGCACGUCUUGACGGUACCUAAUCAGAAAGCCACGGCUAACUACGUG
rnacentral:rRNA from 1 species